rnacentral:rRNA from 1 species
AUACGGAGGGUGCAAGCGUUAUUCGGAAUCACUGGGCGUAAAGGACGCGUAGGCGGGUUGGCAAGUCAGAUGUGAAAUCCUACAGCUUAACUGUAGAACUGCAUUUGAAACUGCUAACCUAGAGUAUGGGAGGGGGGGAUGGAAUUAGUGGUGUAGGGGUAAAAUCCGUAGAUAUCACUAGGAAUACCGAAAGCGAAGGCGAUCUCCUGGAACAUAACUGACGCUAAGGCGUGAAAGCGUGGGGAGCAAACAGGAUUAGAAACCCCAGUAGUCC